ensembl:snoRNA SNORD115 Small nucleolar RNA SNORD115
CAGUCAGGGAUGAGGCCUUAUAUUAUCUUGAAGAGAAAUGAUGACUUAAAAAUCAUUCUCAAUAGAAUUACACUGAGGCUC